GACGAACCGUGCGAACGUUAUUCGGAAUUACUGGGCUUAAAGAGUUCGUAGGCGGCGCAGAAAGUAGGGUGUGAAAGCCCUCGGCUUAACCGAGGAAUUGCGCUCUAAACUACUGUGCUUGAGGAACCUAGAGGUGAGCAGAACUGAUGGUGGAGCGGUGAAAUGCGUUGAUAUCAUCAGGAAUACCGGAGGCGAAGGCGGCUCACUGGGGGUUUUCUGACGCUGAGGAACGAAAGCCAGGGGAGCGAACGGG
rnacentral:rRNA from 1 species